rnacentral:rRNA from 1 species
GGAUUAGAUACCCUGGUAGUCCACGCCCUAAACGAUGAGAGUUGGAUUCUGGACAUGAUCCAGUUUCUAAGCUAACGCAUUAAACUCUCCGCCUGAGGAGUACGACCGCAAGGUUAAAACUUAAAGGAAUUGACGGGGACCCGCACAAGCGGUGGAGCAUGUGGUUUAAUUCGAAGGUACGCGAAGAACCUUACCAGCCCUUGACAUGUUAGUCAUAGAUCUAGGUAACUAGGUCGUCAUUUAGUUGGACUAUCACAGGUGCUGCAUGGCCGUCGUCAGCUCGUGCC